rnacentral:rRNA from 1 species
UACGGGGGGGGCAAGCGUUGUUCGGAAUUACUGGGCGUAAAGGGCUCGUAGGUGGCCAACUAAGUCAGACGUGAAAUCCCUCAGCUUAACUGGGGAACUGCGUCUGAUACUGGAUGGCUUGAGUUUGGGAGAGGGAUGCGGAAUUCCAGGUGUAGCGGUGAAAUACGUAGAUAUCUGGAGGAACACCGGUGGCGAAGGCGGCAUCCUGGACCAACACUGACACUGAGGAGCGAAAGCCAGGGGAGCAAACGGG